rnacentral:rRNA from 1 species
GAUGAACGCUGGCGGCGUGCCUAAUACAUGCAAGUCGAGCGAACAGACGAGGAGCUUGCUCCUCUGGCGUUAGCGGCGGACGGGUGAGUAACACGUGGAUAACCUACCUAUAAGACUGGGAUAACUUCGGGAAACCGGAGCUAAUACCGGAUAAUAUAUUGAACCGCAUGGUUCAAUAGUGAAAGACGGUUUUGCUGUCACUUAUAGAUGGAUCCGCGCCGCAUUAGCUAGUUGGUAAGGUAACGGCUUACCAAGGCAACGAUGCGUAGCCGACCUGAGAGGGUGAUCGGCCACACUGGAACGGAGACACGGUCCAGACGCCUACGGGAGGCAGCAGUAGGGAAUCUGCCGCAAUGGGCGAAAGCCUGACGGAGCAACGCCGCGUGAGUGAUGAAGGUCUUCGGAUCGUAAAACUCUGUUAUUAGGGAAGAACAAAUGUGUAAGUAACUAUGCACGUCUUGACGGUACCUAAUCAGAAAGCCACGGCUAACUACGUG